rnacentral:rRNA from 1 species
UGAGACAGUUCGGUCCAUAUCCGGUGUGGGCGUUAGAGCAUUGAGAGGACCUUUCCCUAGUACGAGAGGACCGGGAAGGACGCACCUCUGGUGUACCAGUUAUCGUGCCCACGGUAAACGCUGGGUAGCCAAGUGCGGAGCGGAUAACUGCUGAAAGCAUCUAAGUAGUAAGCCCACCCCAAGAUGAGUGCUCUCCUAUUCCGACUUCCCCAGAGCCUCCGGUAGCACAGCCGAGACAGCAACGGGUUCUCCACCCAUACGGGGAUGGAGCGACAGAAGUAUGGAAAUAGGAUAAGGUAGCGGCGAGACGAGCCGUUUAAAUAGGUGUCAAGUGGAAGUGCAGUGAUGUAUGCAGCUGAGGCAUCCUAACAGAACGAAAGACUUGAACC